rnacentral:lncRNA from 1 species
GUUAAGAGAUUUGCGCAGCUUACUUCACUGUCUGAAGAGCUGCUGUCAGAGGAGGAGGAAGAAGAGGAUGAACUGGAAUCCUGUGUACAAGAAGAAAAGAUUAUUGCAUAAUUGACACCAGUAAAGUACAUCUUCUUUUUCUUUUCCUUCUUGCAUUUGUCCUCCUCCUCGCUGUCUGAAGAUGGGGAGCUGUGGAAUGAGUGCAAGUCAACCUGAAGGAGAGAGAGACUGUAAUUGUUACAACUGACAGAUGGAUAUGACAGAGUAAAAUUAGAUGGUCCUGCUGCAGGAGCUUUGGGGUCUGUCUUGGCUGCGUUAGUGGUGUCGGUUGAAGACAGCCCUCCUUGCCCUCCAUGCUCUUCAAGCUUCUGUUCACUCCUCCAAGGCUUGAGUUCAUCCAGCGUGCUCAGGACAACUUGUCCUCCCUCUCCAUCUCCAGGCCCUCCCCCUGGAGCUACACAAACCAGCAUAGAUUACUACGCAGUUAUAUUUUCCAUUCACAAAUCAAUAUGUUUGUUGUAUUGCAUGGGCUGUACUAUAUUUUCAGUCGUCUUAGACUUAUACAAAUCACCUAUCCUAUUGUACAAAUCACCUACACACGGAGGCUUUUGCAGUGCAAACAAUAUUAAAUACAAUACAAAAAACAAUAACCAGAGUAUCAAAAAUGCAUAGGUACUGAUCAUGGAUGAAUGGCAUAAAAGUAUUUUAAUAUUAUGGAUAAAACAUUAUCUGAUGCACUUCCUUAUUUCUCAC